GGUGGUUUGUCGCGUUGUUCGUGAAAACUCACAGCUUAACUGUGGGCGUGCGGGCGAUACGGGCAGACUAGAGUACUGCAGGGGAGACUGGAAUUCCUGGUGUAGCGGUGGAAUGCGCAGAUAUCAGGAGGAACACCGGUGGCGAAGGCGGGUCUCUGGGCAGUAACUGACGCUGAGGAGCGAAAGCGUGGGGAGCGAACAGGAUUAGAUACCCUGGUAGUCCACGCCGUAAACGGUGGGUACUAGGUGUGGGUUCCUUCCAUGGGAUCCGUGCCGUAGCUAACGCAUUAAGUACCCCGCCUGGGGAGUACGGCCGCAAGGCUAAAACUCAAAGGAAUUGACGGGGGCCCGCACAAGCGGCGGAGCAUGUGGAUUAAUUCGAUGCAACGCGAAGAACCUUACCUGGGUUUGACAUGCACAGGACGCCGGCAGAGAUGUCGGUUCCCUUGUGACCUGUGUGCAGGUGGUGCAU
rnacentral:rRNA from 1 species